rnacentral:lncRNA from 1 species
CUGAAGCCAUCAGCUGCUCAUCUUGGCUUUCCCUGGCGUUUCAUGGGAUGAGAGCGCACAGGGUUGGUGCCCGUGGCACUGCUGGACUCGGAGCUGCAGAACCACCAUGUCCUCUCUCCUUAUCAUCCUCCACAUGCUCCUUUUUGGGUAUUUUGCAGCACUUUGAGGCUGGGAGAAGUGGUGCAGCAGCAAUGACAACCAGGACAUUGUCCCCUUGGGACAUGCAUUGAGCGAGACCCGGCUGCCUGCCUUAGCCCUUGAAAGGAAGGGGUGAAGGAAAAUGGGAAAAGGAGAAGGUGGGAAGGAGAACGAGAGAGAAAAAUGAAUUGCUUAAAACUUCUAUUACUCUUCAUUACCUUCUGCUUUAUCAGGAGGAAAACCAGCACCCGAGCCAGCCCUGUGCUCCAUGCAUCUCCUUCACCAGGCCUGGGGAGAAGCACGGAGCUCACUCCAUGCUGGAACGAAUUGCAGCCUGGAGCAGGUCUUAAAGAAAGGCAUGCAGGUAUGAACAUACUGCAGGUGAUGGGUGAUAAUCCGCUUUUGUUGGUUUUUUUUUCUGGUCUCAUUUCUUAGACUAAAAUGGGUCUUUAGCAAGAGCUCAGCUUAGCUUUAUAAGCUUAGCUUCUUAAGAAAUUGGCUUGAUUUUAUCACUGUUAUUUUAUGAAAAUGAGAGUCAGAUUUUGCCUAUUCCGGUAAAUUAUACCACUUUCUAGCCAAGGUUUGAGAACAAUUUUGCAAAUACCUUGAAAGCCCUUGUGCGGACAGUUCUUACCUAGCAGGGUUAUUAAACACCAUCUUCAGCUAAAUCAAUGUGGAUUCAAGUAGUACAGGAAAGAGACAAACUCGCUCCCCGCUGUUUAUCCUCUCCCUCAGUGAUUUCUGCAGCCCCAGAUUGGAGUAAUGCUCUCCGGGCUCUCAGCUCACCCAUCUCCAGCAGGGGUGAAGGCACACGGAUGUUCAACCUGCCACACACUGCUGGUUGGAGCUGCCCCUUCUCCACCCCCAAGGGAUCAUCCCCAGGCUCAGCCCAUCCCUCCCCUACAGCAGCAAACAAACAACCCUUUGUCCUUUCCCAUCCACCUUCCUUUCCAUCCCAGCAACAUAUUUCUUUCUACCUCCCUCCGUCAACCCUAUUUCAAUGGCAUUUCCCUUCCUGCUGCCAAAUGGAUGCUUAGGAGCGUGGAGACAGUAAAACAUUGCGCUAAUGUCCCUUGCUGAUGCAUAGACUCCUCCCAUUAUUGGUACAGCAGCAUCAGGUUAUACACCGUUAAUAGCCUUUCCUCUUGUUUAUAGCCUUGCUGGCACCAUUCCUGGAUGUAGCACCGCUGCUUUCCCCCCCAGCUGUGGGCUCACGUGGCACGCGUGCGAUGUGCAGCUCAGCACAUGGCGGGGGGCACCUCCAGCAACCAGCAUGGCACAAACACACAGCAGCAAAGCCAGCCAAGCUCAUCUCAGACUGGGCAGGGGUUGGGGAGGAGAUUAUUUAUUGAUUUAUUUUUUUAUUUAUUUUUGCAAAGUGAGUGAAUAAUUCAUAGGCGAACCAUUGACAUGAUAAAUUCCUCCACUUCUUCCCUUUAGCGAGUUGGCUGCGAACAACUUUCCAAUUCUGCUCCUCUGCGUUUUCAUUAUCCAGAAUUAUUCACUAAACAAUUGCUUGGAAUCAUUCUAGGAAGCAAUGCCUCUGCUGGGGGCAGCGACGCCUACAACGGCAAUGAGCCUUCCAGCACCAGGGUCUGCCCAGCUGGGGCAGAGCACCGAGCUGUGCAGCCCGGUUUUCUCUGCCAUUAGAUGAGCAGAGUUCUGCAAAUCAGGUUUCCGCCGCAAGUGCUCAUGUUUACAAAUCAGCAGGAGCUGAAACUGCUGAGAUGCAGUGCUGGGUGGCACUGGUGCUUCCAGCAGCACUUCUGCCAACACACUCCAUCUCCGGUCCCACGGGACAAGUGGCACAAAGUCUCUCCGUUUCCAUUUCAGCUGCUGCAAACAAGCUCUGCCCUUCACAGAGCACUGCUGGCAGUGCACACAGACUCAGAACCCACUGCUGGGCUCCCAGCACCACGCACUGCCUUUGAUAUUCAUGGGAGGCAAAAGAAAACAACCGAUGUUUUGCUUUUUAAUUUCAUGGGAAAUUUUGGAGGUGGUUUCUGCUCCAUGCUGCACUUCAUUUGCUCAUUCACAGACUGACCCAAACCCCCUUAUGAACAACCGAAUGUCUUCAGCACACACAGCUCUGACUCCAAGUCCUUGAUAUUUAUCUGCCUGUGGUUUCCAAUACCUGAAACCUGGCUGACCCAACACAGUGAAUUUGGAGGAAGCUCGCCAGCUGAUGACUCCGACUGCCCGACAGGAAUCGUCUGGGGUGUAUUUUCUGGAUAUUUUAUUGCAGAUGAGACACCUGACACCAUGAGGUCAUAAGCAAUUUCCAGCUCUCUCCAAAUCACCCGGACGGUUCCAACCCCAAAGCCAACAACAUCAUCCAUGGUGCUGGAAAACUUUCCGUGCUGAUUGUCGGUCAUUUGCCACUUGUAACUCAGAGGGAGGGAACUGCUUCCCCCCCCCUUUGCCUUCUCAGGGAAAUCAGCCUGUGUUCUGCAGGCCAACCAGGCUGUAAAACCCACAGAUCGAGGGCUCUGCCUCUCUAUUUAUUGAGAAUCUUUAGUCCAGUGGCAAAACGACAGCGCUGUACCUGCAGUUCCAUCCUAGGUGGGCAGGAUAUUAACUUCUUUGGUCAUUGCUCUGAUUCAGCAUCUGCUUUCCCCGCAUCGCAUCCCUGCGUUUGGAUUUAGAUUAAUUCCUGUCACCAUCCCAGACGUGCACGUUUACGGAGCUGACAAACUAAUUUGCCAUAAGUGACAACGACCUGAUUUCUGCAAAAGUCAGAAUGCUGCCAAGCCCUCCAUUUAAACGUGCACAGACACGAAUUUCACACUGAGGAAACACAAUUGCACACAGACAAGCAGAAAUAAAGAGCUCCUGUGCAGGGAAACCUGCAGAUGUUUCCCUCCUUACAUCACUCCUGUGGUGCCCUGCUCCCACCCACCCACCUUGCAGCACUGUUGGCAGCCUGCAGCAUCUCCCCUUUACAUGCAAGGCUCCCCAUCUGCUUCCAUACCAAAAGCAAGCAGAGAGAUAUGGUGUGCUCAGACCCCAUAGCCUGCUCAGCAAAGGAUCAGGACAUAUCCGUGGGUCUGUGGGUACAAACUCAUUCCCCUGAAGAGAUGCAUCCCUGAUCUGCAGAAUAACACAUCUCUGGGACAGUGCAGCUUUCAUAGAAUCAUGAAGGAUGGAAAAGACCUCUCAGGUCACCAGGUCCAACCCCAACCCAUCCCACCAUGCCCACUAACCACGUCCCUCAGUGCCACCCCUCCAUGGUUACUGACCACCCCCAUGGAUGGUGACCCCACCACUCCCAGGGCAGCCUAUGCCAAUGCAUCACAGCUCUUUUGGAGAAGAUUUUUUUCCUAUUGCAGAAUUUGAGGCCGUUGCUGCAUUUCACUGCAUCCUGGAAAAUCCCAAAUCCAGUAAUGUCCUCCAGCCAUGCCAUUUGCCAUCAAUAAAUGGUAGUCCCAAUCCCCAGCACAGCCUGCUGCUUGUCUUAACCCAGAGCUGGGACAUAAUCUGGGAGCCAGUUUCUGCCUGGAAAAGUGAAGGUGGUUGAUGCAGAGGUGAUUGUUCCAUUCAUUUGGGGAUUUUUAACUGUGAGAACGAUGGCUCUGCCCUGAUGCCUCCAUUUCCCCAUUUGGGGCAGCUGAGCUGAGGGCUGAGCACCCAAUAAGCACAAGGAGAUCCCAUUGUGCUCCAUCCUCAUACCACUGCUUCUCCUCCCGAGAGCUCAGGACACAAUAGCACAAACAACUAUUUUACAGCCAGAGAACCUUAGGAUACGAGACUUGAAGUCCAGAUUUCAUUAUAACUAACCCCUACUGAUACAAAGAAUGGGUAAAGCCCUUUUGAAACGGCAGGACUCACGCUGUGCCUCUGCACAGAGAUGGCAGCCACCACCAGCUCUGUGCUGCAGGAGAGCUGGAACUGCCAGAACCAAUUCACCCUGUGCCCUGAAGCACCCACCAGCUCUCACUGCACACAGGGAGCAGUGAGGGCAGAAGGGGCUUUGAUGGAGGGGAAGUAGGGUAGGAGCUGGGGCAGCUGGAUGCCCCUCAGUCUUUCCAAAGACACCAAAGGGGCCCUUGGUCAAGUCCAUACCAGUUUCUCCAGCUGCUCAGGGGAGAACUGUGCUGUGUUGCUAGGUUUCAACUUGGGUUUAAUCCUCUCUUUUUUUUUUUUUUUGUCAGAAAUUCAGGUUUGACACUGAAUUCAAAGGGAUGGGUGCUGCAGAGAAGCAGAGUGCAACCAGGAUGGAGUCAGUGGCCCACCACGCACAGAAGACUGAAGUAUUGAUCCUAAUUAUUACUGAACCCAAAUUAAGACAAAAUCCCUGUCCAUUUGCUGAAUGCAGUUCAUACUAUUCCAAAAGGCCACACUAAGCCCCAGCUCACAUUGGAUUUUCACAGCCCAAGCCCAGUGCUGGGCACUCCCAUGGCUCAGGGUAGGAGGGCUCAGUCUGCCCAGGCAUCUCCUCAGCCCCACACCGAUGUGUUGGUACCUAGAUCUAGAGAGUUAGAUAACACAACACAGCAUCUUCAGAUUCACGGUAAUGUGUUGUUUAAGGAGGCCAAAACAUCAAGGGGGACCAGGCAGGACCAGGACCCUCAAAUCCCCAACUUCACUCCCCCCUCCCCCUCCACCAUCCUCUGAAACCAGGACCGCAAAUUGAGCUUAGCCUCUUCCUCCCCCCUCUACUCACACCCUCACUCCUUGAAUUAAGAGGAAAGAAAAUGAACGCUGCAUGCUGCAUCCUGCAACUGAGGCACUGUGCAGCACCAUCCCCAGUGGAUGCAGUCCUAUGGAGACUACAAGAAGUCCCAGGGGGGCAUCAGCAGCCGUGGCACAGCAUCCGCAGCACAGCGGAGUACCACUGCUCGCUCUCCAGCCCUAUUUCUGUGUUCCAUGCCAGUUGGCACUGCUGAUUCUGUGGUGCUCUGGAGUACCCUUAUCUCUCCAGGAGAGGCUUUCACCGCAGCCCUUGAGCACUAGGAAAUGGAGAUACUCAACUGCUCUGUACAUCAAUCAGAGGGGGAGGCUGGGAAGGGGAACAGCGUGUCCCCGCCUGUCGCUCCAUGUAAGCUCUGCCCUUCACUGCUGACAGCAGAUUAAUUCCCAGCCAAAGCACAACACCCUCCUGAUGGAGAGGGGAAGCCUUCAAAAAGCAAAGCCUCCCACCUGUGAGUGCCCUGAAGUGGGGGGUGCAGCUAACAGGCAGCACAGGAGUCCCCAGGACGGAGAGUGCUUGGACAACACUGUCCAUUAGUACCUGGGUAUGGGUGGUGCUGCAAACAGAUUUUGCCAGGAAGCCAGUAGUGCCAUCCCCACAGUGCAGCAGGUCUGGGAAUUUGGGGCAUCUGGAGAUGGUCACAGUGCAAUGACAACAUGGUUGCGUUAGGGACCACCCCUUUCCCCCCUAGCUCUGUGGCUGGAGGCUGCGAGUGGGCUCCCACCAGCUCCUGCACCCACAGGGAAGCUUUUCCCCAGGCUGCUCAGAUGAGAGCCCAGGGAAAGGGGGAACUGUCUGUCUGUGCCCUGGGCAAGCUGGGCUGCAAUUUCCCUCCUCCUGCAGCCCACGGCACCAGCUGCCCUCCCAGGGGCUGCUCUCCUCCUGGCAUGCUGUGAGUCACGUCUCUGAUGUCACCUCUCCACGUCACUGGAGCUUGGAAAUGGAUUUAAUGAGCCCGUGUUUUCUUCAGCUAAGAAAAACCUCAAAGAGGCUUAUGCUCGAGCACCCUGAGGAGCCAGCAGGGCUCUCUGCAGCUGCCACAGUCCCCACAGGAGGACAGAUAGCUGCACAGUGCUCCAAAGCAGGGCGGUCAGCACCAAAAGCAGAGCGCCAGACAUGCAGGGGACAACACAUCACAGAGAUGGGAGGAUGUUUGUCCACAAUGCGCCCUUCCACGUUACCACCCUCCUCGUGGGACGUGGAGGUGAUGCCCUGCAAUGCCUCACGAUGCUCAGGGGGAGGGGGCAGCGCAGUAGUGGCACCGUGCCCACACUCAGAGGACCCAGCAGCAUCUCUGAGGGCUGCCACACAAUAAGCUGAGUUGGUGGCCAUUGCUCCUCAUGUUCUCCCACUCCCAGACACACGUGCUGGACCCAUCCCCACAAACAUCUAUCUUAGGCCGCCCAGCAGCUUUUUUAACACCAGUCACAUUGGGGAUGUGAAUCCUGAUUCACAGCAGUAUAGAUUGAAAUGUGAGCCUGUGGUGUUUUCAGAAGAACAAGUCCUUGUAAAGCAGAAGGGAACAAAAUUCAUUAUCAAAAUCAAGGGAAACGAGGAACAUUUGUUCUCUUUUAUGAAGGUCACUAGGAAAGGAAGCCCUACAUGGGGUCCCUGAAAAGCCAGUAGUGUAUGCAGUCAGCAGACAGAGGGCAUCUUCUGUUAAUGAAGGUGCCUCACCAAAAACACAGGCAUCAUAUAAAUUAUCAGAUAAUGAAAUUCCAGUUAAUUUGCUGCCUGGUCAGCUACAGCCCUCCUGCCAUGCUCCUGAGCCCAGCCAAUAACAUUAAGAAAGAAUUACCUUGCUACUAGGGCAGCUGGUGGAAAACCACCUCCUGAUUACUCAAUUCAGAAAACAAUAUCUUCUCCAGGACAAGAGGGGUGGAUGCUGCAGCCCCAUGGCCCUCCACACUGGGUUGACUACACAGGGACAUGUUCCCAACUGAUUCUUGCAGCUCUUUACCUUUUAGCAGCUUUGCUACCAGGAUCUCUUGAUGGGAUCCUUUUGCCCAGUUACUCAUGGGCAUCCCACCUCACCCACAGCUCCCUGUUCUCUCCUGGGUUUGUGUCUCCUUACCAGAACCCAGAAGAGCAACCAGAGAACAAGGAGAUGGCAUCCACCCCCUUUGCUCAAGUAAGUUCUUGAUCCCAUGGGUAGAAAGAGACUUAAGAAGGGGAAGUUUGGGGGAACCUUCCCCUUCUAAAUAGGCUGUAGUGGUUGAAAGCAAAGACAAGGCUCAGGAAGAGGUCCUACAUCCUCAACAUGGAGUGGGUUUCAAGUACAAACUGCAUUAUAGCUCCUUCCAUUCCCCUUCUCCAUCUGCUGCUCCAAACUAUCAGAGCACCAAGAAUUCAGCAUGCGCCAUGUAAUUUUAAAGCCAUUAUGUAAGCUGCUCUCCCCUCCCCACCUCUCAAUGUCUCCAAUUGGUGUGUCAGAAUGUAAUUAGCUUUUGAUGGGAUGUUAAGAUUUCUUGAGCUCCCGUGGAGAGGUAGCAUGGGGAGAGGCGAGGCAGCGGAUUGUGAUUGUCACUCCCCACAUAAGUGCUCGAAGACCCUGGAAGACUCAUUUACAAAAAUGUAAAAUAAAUAAAUAAAUAAACCUAAAAGCAG